AACCAGUGCACUUAAUUACGUUGAACAACACGGGAUUGAAGUUGUCAGUGACAGCACGUGUAUGCCACGCUGCAAAAAAUGAAAUGUGCUACUUCCUUUAUCAUCUGUCUUUGACAAGAUUGUGGCAUGCAAAAUAUCGCAUAUUGUAAAUUGUAGCAAGUUUUUUUUACUUUCAACCCAAUGAACUGUUGGAUCGCAACGAGAGCAUGACGGAACUAAUUAACUCACCACCGCACCUUAGCUGUCAUGUGCAGGAUCCAAGCAUUAUUACAACGGGCUUGCAGCUUCUGGCCAAGCAUAAGCGUCACUUUCAGCGCGUCAGCUUAUUUAAGACUGUGGUAAUUGAGCUAGACUCAUGCAGUUCUUCUAGACACCGACCCAGCGUCUGUCAGUGAAACCGAUUGUGAUAAGUUGACUGCAUUGAUGACUAUGAUCUUUUGUCACACCAUGCAAAAAUCCAAUGCAAUAAGGAACGAACGAAAUAUGUGUGUAUUUUAGCUGGACGUGGCUUCAAUCCAAAAACUAUGCAGUCUCAUUUUGAAGAGCACGACAUGAUCGUUAAUUUGGAUGUCGCAGUUCUUGAGGACGAUAUUCGUAUUAUCAACCAAAUGCAUUACCAUAUCGACGGUAUGUUCUUUCGCAGCGACCCUAAUCAACUGCCAGAGAUGAGGGACGUGCUACUAUUUUUAAACAGCUGCAAUCUUUGCUUACAUGGCUUCUGAACAAAGAUCGGAGUUUUAUUGAACCUGUCAAUUUCUGAUUAUGUUUGGGAGGACAUGUCUGAUUUGGAACCUGCCGUCGAACCGUUUGGCAAGCGAGCCAUAUUGCCCAUACAUUGCCAUUACGAACUCGAAAUCAAGAAUAUGAGUAACUUGUUGGCCUUACAAGCUAAUUACAAACAACUUUACGGCUGGCGCAACUUAAGCUCCAAGCCCGUUGUUGGAUUCGUUGGAUUCUCAUUCAAAAUGAGACUGCAUACGUCCAGCUAAAAUACACACAUAUUUUGUUCGCUCCUUGUUGCAUUUGAUUUUUGCAUGGUGGGACAAAGGAGCAUGGUCAUCAAUGCAGUCAACUUAUCACAAUCAGCUAAGGUGUUGUGGUGAAUUAAUUAGCUCUGUCAUGCUCUCGAUGCGAUCCAAUAGUUCAUUUGGUUUAAAGUAAAUCUUGCUACAAUUUACUUUCUACAAAAACAAAAAUGAUUCGUAAUUAAUUAAUGAAUUAAUUAAUUAUGAUAUUUCAUCAAAAUCCGGAUAUAUAAAUGAACGACACAGUCAUAAACUGUGUCGGUCAUUUAUAUAUGCGUAUUCGAUAUUUUGCCUGCCACAAUCAAAAUAAAUUUCAAACGAUACACAAA